AUUGAACGCUGGCGGAAUGCCUUACACAUGCAAGUCGAACGGCAGCACGGGAGCAAUCCUGGUGGCGAGUGGCGAACGGGUGAGUAAUACAUCGGAACGUGCCCAAUCGUGGGGAUAACGUAGCGAAGCUACGCUAAUACCGCAUACGAUCUACGGAUGAAAGCAGGGAUCGCAAGACCUUGCGCGAAUGGAGCGGCCGAUGGCAGAUUAGGAGUUGGUGAGGUAAAGGCUCACCAAGCCUUCGAUCUGUAGCUGGUCUGAGAGGACGACCAGCCACACUGGGACUGAGACACGGCCCAGACUCCUACGGGAGGCAGCAGUGGGGAAUUUUGGACAAUGGGCGCAAGCCUGA
rnacentral:rRNA from 1 species